GGAAUUUUCCGCAAUGGGCGAAAGCCUGACGGAGCAACGCCGCGUGAGGGAUGAAGGCCUCUGGGCUGUAAACCUCUUUUCUCAAGGAAGAAGAUCUGACGGUACUUGAGGAAUAAGCCACGGCUAAUUCCGUGCCAGCAGCCGCGGUAAUACGGGAGUGGCAAGCGUUAUCCGGAAUUAUUGGGCGUAAAGCGUCCGCAGGCGGCCCAUCAAGUCUGCUGUUAAAAAGUGGAGCUUAACUCCAUCAUGGCAGUGGAAACUGUUGGGCUAGAGUGUGGUAGGGGCAGAGGGAAUUCCCGGUGUAGCGGUGAAAUGCGUAGAUAUCGGGAAGAACACCAGUGGCGAAGGCGCUCUGCUGGGCCAUAACUGACGCUCAUGGACGAAAGCCAGGGGAGCGAAAGGGAUUAGAUACCCCAGUAGUC
rnacentral:rRNA from 1 species